GCUUCGAUGAGUAGGAGGACGCGGGGGUCGUUGAGAAACCUUGGGCGUGAGCCUGGGUGGACCGGUCCCCGGUGAAGAUCUUGGUGGUAGUAGCAAAUAUUCAAAUGAAAACUUUGAAGACUGAAGUGGGGAAAGGUUCCAUGUGAACAUCACUUGGACAUGGGUUAGUCGAUCCUAAGAGAUGGGGAAGCCCUGUAUCAAGGGUGCACUCUACACGAAAAUCGAAAGGGAAUCGGGUUAAUAUUCUCGAACCGGGACAUGGCAGUGGACGACAACAUUAGGAAAUCUGGAGACAUCGUUGGGGGCCAUGGGAAGAGUUAUCUUUUCUUUUUAACAGCUUUCCCACCCUGAAAUCGACUCAACCGAAGAUAGGGUCCAGCAGUUUGAAGAGAAUCAAACGUCUUGCAAUGUCCGGUGCACCCUCGGUGGCCCUUGAAAAUAUAGAGGACCAAGUACCAUCCAUGCCCGAUCGUACUCAUAACCGCAUCAGGUCUCCAAGGUGAACAACCUCUGGUCAAUAGAAAAAUGUAGGUAAGGGAAGUCGGCAAAGCGGAUCUGUAACUUCGGGAAAAGGAUUGGCUCUGAGGGCUGGGCCUAGGGGUCUGCGUCCUUAACCCAUGGGUUGUUGGCAGUCUUCCCAAGCUGCUAUCGUGGCGAGGGUAGGCAGUUGCGUGUCGAUUAGGCUAUGGAUGUAGAAUGUCCUCUCGUGGGGGAUUUCCCUAGGCAGUGAAAAAUCGACUCAGAACUGGUACGGACAAGGGGAAGCCUACUGUUUAAUUAAAACAAAGCAUUGUGAUGGUCCCUAUGGAUGCUGACGCAAUUUUCUUUCUACCCAGUGCUCUGAAUGUCAAAGUGAAGAAAUUCAAGUAAGUGUGGGUAAAUGGCGGGAGUAACUAUGACUCUCUUAAGGUAGCCAAAUGCUUCAUCGUAUAAUUAGUGACGUGCAUGAAUGGAUUAACGAGAUUCUCACUGUCCCUAUCUACUAUCUAGCGAAACCAUAACCAAGGGAACGGGCUUGGUGGAAUCAGCGAGGAAAGAACACCCUGUUGAGCUUGACUCUAGUCUGACUUUGUGAAAUGACUUGAGAGGUGUAGAAUAAGUGGGAGUUGUUUUCAGCACAAGUGAAAUACCACUACUUUUAACAUUAUUUUACUUAUUCCAUGGGGCGGAGACAGGGCAUUGCCCCUGUUUUUGGCCUUAAGACAUGUUUCAAUGGGUCGAUCCGGGCAGAAGACAUUGUAAGGUGGGGAGUUUGGCUGGGGCGGCACAUCUGUUAAAAGAUAACGCAGGUGUCCUAAGAUGAGCUCAAUGAGAACAUAAAUCUUGUGUGGAACAAAAAGGUAAAAGCUCAUUUGAUUUUGAUUUUCAGUACGAAUACAAACCGUGAAAG
rfam:Picea glauca, whole genome shotgun sequence.